rnacentral:rRNA from 1 species
AUAAUACCCGAUAGGUCUCGAUUGCUGGAAUGCAUCGAGAUUAAAGCUCCGGCGCCUAAGGAUGGGUCUGCGGCCUAUCAGGUAGUAGUGGGUGUAGCGUACCUACUAGCCUACGACGGGUACGGGUUGUGAGAGCAAGAGCCCGGAGAUGGAUUCUGAGACACGAAUCCAGGCCCUACGGGGUGCAGCAGGCGCGAAAACUUUACAAUGCUGGCAACAGCGAUAAGGGAACCUCGAGUGCCAGGUUACAAAUCUGGCUGUCGAGAUGCCUAAAAAGCAUUUCAUAGCAAGGGCCGGGCAAGACCGGUGCCAGCCGCCGCGGUAACACCGGCGGCUCGAGUGGUAACCGUUAUUAUUGGGUCUAAAGGGUCUGUAGCCGGCCGGAUAAGUCUCUUGAGAAAUCUGGCAGCUUAACUGUCAGGCUUUCAGGAGAUACUGUCUGGCUCGAGGCCGGGAGAGGUGAGAGGUACUUCAGGGGUAGGGGUGAAAUCUUGUAAUCCUUGAAGGACCACCAGUGGCGAAGGCGUCUCACCAGAACGGACCUGACGGCAAGGGACGAAAGCUAGGGGCACGAACCGGAUUAGAUACCCGGGUAGUCCUAGCCGUAAACGAUACUCGCUAGGUGU